rnacentral:rRNA from 1 species
ACUCCUACGGGAGGCAGCAGUAGGGAAUUUUCCGCAAUGGACGAAAGUCUGACGGAGCAAUGCCGCGUGAGUGAUGAAGGUUUUCGAAUCGUAAAGCUCUGUUGUAAGGGAAGAAUAGCAAGAAUAGGAAAUGAUUCUUGUCUGACGGUACCUUACCAGAAAGCCACGGCUAACUACGUGCCAGCAGCCGCGGUAAUACGGAGGGGGUUAGCGUUGUUCGGAAUUACUGGGCGUAAAGCGCGCGUAGGCGGACUAUUAAGUCAGGGGUGAAAUCCCGGGGCUCAACCCCGGAACUGCCCUUGAUACUGGUAGUCUUGAGUUCGAGAGAGGUGAGUGGAAUUCCGAGUGUAGAGGUGAAAUUCGUAGAUAUUCGGAGGAACACCAGUGGCGAAGGCGGCUCACUGGCUCGAUACUGACGCUGAGGUGCGAAAGUGUGGGGAGCAAACAGGAUUAGAUACCCUGGUAGGCUCU